rnacentral:rRNA from 1 species
GAUGAACGCUGGCGGCGUGCCUAAUACAUGCAAGUCGAGCGAACAGAUGAGGAGCUUGCUCCUCUGACGUUAGCGGCGGACGGGUGAGUAACACGUGGAUAACCUACCUAUAAGACUGGGAUAACUUCGGGAAACCGGAGCUAAUACCGGAUAAUAUAUUGAACCGCAUGGUUCAAUAGUGAAAGACGGUUUUGCUGUCACUUAUAGAUGGAUCCGCGCCGCAUUAGCUAGUUGGUAAGGUAACGGCUUGCCAAGGCAACGAUGCGUAGCCGACCUGAGAGGGUGAUCGGCCACACUGGAACUGAGACACGGUCCAGACUCCUACGGGAGGCAGCAAUAGGGAAUCUUCCGCAAUGGGCGAAAGCCUGACGGAGCAACGCCGCGUGAGUGAUGAAGGUCUUCGGAUCGUAAAACUCUGUUAUUAGGGAAGAACAAAUGUGUAAGUAACUAUGCACGUCUUGACGGUACCUAAUCAGAAAGCCACGGCUAACUACGUG